ensembl:lncRNA PAX8-AS1 PAX8 antisense RNA 1
GGGGGUUUCCUGCUUUAUGGCGAAGGACGGAGUUUUGCUCUUGUUGCCCAAGCUGGAGUGCAAUGGUGCGAUCUUCGCUUACUGCAACCUCUGCUUCCUGGGUUCAAGUGAUUCCCCUGCCUCAGCCUCCCGAGUAGCAGGGAUUACAGGUACAAAGCACUGGGAAUACAACCUUGAACAAGACAAGAAUCCUGGCCUUCAAGGAACUUCGAACCUUUUGGGGGAUAUGAUAAGACACAUUAGGAAUCACCAUGUUAAUGGUUAUCUUUCUUGAAGGAUAUAAGUCCAGACACAUAUACUCACAGAAAUGAGUUAUUUAAAGAAGACGGUCCAGAUUCCACAGUCCAAAAAAAAAAGAGGUUUGCCCUGCUUCUGAAGGAGUCAGGGUAUGAAUGCAGAGGUCUUCCUGUUGGCUCACAUAUCAGAUCUUCAAC